rnacentral:lncRNA from 1 species
AAACUGCCCCAAGAUUCUAGAACAAGAGGGAAUAGUGGAGAUUGAUAGAAUCCACAGAUCACCUCCUGUACUUAAUACCCAACUGACAACACCCAGGAAUGUUAUAGCCAAAUUCAAGAACUAUCAGACCAAAGAAAAGAUAUUACAAGAUGCCAAGAAGAAGUCAUUCAGAUACCAAGGAACCACAGUGAGGAUAACUCAGGAUCUGGCUGCAUCCACACUGAAAAAAAAGAAAGGCAUAGAAUAUGAUAUUCUGGAAAGCAAGGGAACUGGGUCUACAACCAAGAAUCAACUACCCAGCAAAACUGACUAUAUUCUUACAGGGGAAAGUAUGGUCAUUCAACAAAAUAGAAGAAUUUCAAGAAUUCAUAAAGAAAAGACCAGACCUGAAUAGAAAAUUUGAUGUACAAGCACAGAACUCAAGAGAAUCAUCAAAAGAAGAGACCAUGAUUCCUGCCUUGAAGGAAACAGGAAAAGGGGCCAUGAAGCCAACUGCUUCUUCUCUGCUACAUGAGAGAGGUUCACCAGGCUUUAUAGCUCCAGUUUCUUCUUCAGUAACAUGGUUUGAAGUUCCUUCACCAUCUUGUGUGAUCUUCUCAUGGACAGAAAAGUGUGUUAACGUCCCUCCUAAAGUAGGUAACCAGAAUUGGACCAGCACUAAAAAAAUAAAGAUGAUAAUGAUGAAUUUUAACAACUGGCAUUUUAUAACACUUUAAGGUUUCCAGA